UACGUAGGGUGCGAGCGUUGUCCGGAAUUACUGGGCGUAAAGAGCUCGUAGGUGGUUUGUCGCGUUGUCCGUGAAAACUCACAGCUCAACUGUGGGCGUGCGGGCGAUACGGGCAGACUGGAGUACUGCAGGGGAGACUGGAAUUCCUGGUGUAGCGGUGGAAUGCGCAGAUAUCGGGAGGAACACCGGUGGCGAAGGCGGCGAUCUGGGUCGAUACUGACGCUGAGGUGCGAAAGCGUGGGGAGCAAACAGG
rnacentral:rRNA from 1 species